rnacentral:rRNA from 1 species
CGUGUGCAGCGGUGCCCUUCCAUCCUUCUGUUAACGUUUCUGAUAUUCAUUUAUUGGUCUCGGGCUCAGAUAUUUUACCUUGAGAAAAUUAGAGUGUUCCAGGCAGGCUUGCGCCGGAAUACAUUAGCAUGGAAUAAUAGAAUAGGACUUUAGUCUCCUUUGUUGGUUUGAGGGACUGAAGUAAUGAUUAAUAGGGAUAAUCUCGGGGGCAUUCGUAUUUCUGCGGGAGAGGUGAAAUUCUAUGAUCGCAGAAGGACGCCCUAAAGCGAAAGCAUUUGCCAAGAAUGUCUUCGUUAAUCAAGAACGAAAGUCAGAGGAUCGAAGGCGAUUAGAUACCGCCCUAGUUCUGACCGUAAACGAUACCAUCUAGCGAUCCGAUAGGGUCUAUCUAGCCUUGUCGGGGAGCUUCCCGGAAACGAAAGUCUUUCGGUUCCGGGGGUAGUAUGGUUGCAAAGCUGAAACUUAAAGAAAUUGACGGAAGGGCACCACCAGGAGUGGAGCUUGCGGCUUAAUUUGACUCAACACGGGAAAACUCACCCGGUCCGGACACCGUAAGGAUUGACAGACUGAUAGCUCUUUCUUGAUUCGGUGGUUGGUGGUGCAUGGCCGUUCUUAGUUGGUGGAGUAAUUUGUCUGGUUUAUUCCGAUAACGAGCGAGACUCUAGCCUGCUAAAUAGAACGAGGAUAAACCUUUUCAUAGGUCCUCGAUGCUUCUUAGAGGAAUUAGCG